rnacentral:rRNA from 1 species
UACGUAGGGGGCUAGCGUUGUCCGGAAUUAUUGGGCGUAAAGAGCUCGUAGGCGGUUUGUCGCGUCUGCCGUGAAAGUCCGGGGCUCAACUCCGGAUCUGCGGUGGGUACGGGCAGACUAGAGUGAUGUAGGGGAGACUGGAAUUCCUGGUGUAGCGGUGAAAUGCGCAGAUAUCAGGAGGAACACCGAUGGCGAAGGCAGGUCUCUGGGCAUUAACUGACGCUGAGGAGCGAAAAGCAUGGGGGAGCGAACAGG